AAGGAGCUGAGAAGGAGCCAUAUCAGCUGAAAAUGGUUUGGCCCACAAUAGUGAUAGGAUAAAUGGACCAGAACACGUUGCUAAGGGAGAAAAUUCAUUUAUUAAGUGAAGAGUGAAGAAAGAGAGAGUAGUUGUUUUCUUUGUUGAUAUGGCAGAAGUAAGAAGUGCACAAGUUAAAUCAAUAUUCAUAUACCCAGUGAAAUCAUGCCGUGGUAUUUCUGUUUCUGAAGCUGCCCUUUCUUCUACUGUUGGAAUUCUUAGAUAAUUGGGGAUACGAUCAUAUGAAGUUGGUAAGAGUGAUUGGCCAACUGAAAUUGAGAACUGAUUCCUAACCAAUGUGCAAUAGACGACUGCUUUCUGUUACAAUAAGCCCUCUCAUUUCACCAUUUUACAGUUACAACACUAGAUUUGCUGAUAUAGAGCGUAAACACUCAUCCAACUUGAACCCUCGAUCGGGAAAAGAUGACGGCUUAGUAAACUUUAAAUAUCUCUCGUUCUGUCAAUAUUAGCCCAAAUUUGUAUAACCCCUCUAAUCGAAGUAUGACAGGUUAGUUGUUCGUAUUGAAAGUAUGACAGAUUAGGCGAUUGAUAUUAUUAUGGAAGUGUCAUAACGGAGUAACUGGGCUAAAAGAGUGUAGCUCGACAAGUUAAUUGUCAACGGAAGUGGCAGAGUCCUUAAGAAUAGCUGAUGUUGUGAUACAGUUUGCAACAGACUUCCAAGUUGCAACAGUAAGGAUUGACAAUAGCAAAUGAUUUACUUCCUAAAGUUGCAUACUUAGUGUGGAUUUUGGUACAGGAAGCCUGCCUUACACUAGAUAAAUUUGAUGAGAAUGGGGUUCACAUAUGUAGUGGAUGCUUUAUGUGUGAAAAGAAAUUGGAAGAUGCAGAACAUUUGUUUCUGCAUUGUCCUUUAGCAACAGAAUUUUGGAGUAUAUUUUUGGACGUAUGUGAAGUCAAAUCAGUGAUGCCUAAGACCUUGAAGCAAUCUUUUUGCAAUUGGUAGAGAAGGAGAAUCUAGAGAGAGGGAUCAAUCUAUGUUUUGAAGGGUGUAGGAGAUCUUUGUAAAUAAUUUAGACAUUUUGCUAUUUUUGUUAGUUCCCUACAUACAUAGCUAAUAGAGAAUAUUUUUGUA